rnacentral:lncRNA from 1 species
AUUAGGAGCAGGCAGUAUCUUUUCUUUUUCUUUUUCUUUCUUUCUUUUUUUUUUUUUUUGACAGGAUGGGCUGGGGUUGGGGGAGGAGGAAGCAAGAAUUAAGCAGAGAAGGCAAGCUCCUUUCUGUUCAUCUAACUCAAAUUCACUGCAGAGCAGAGGGGAGAGUUUUUCACACUGCUGGCGUUUUGUUGGAGCACGAAGAUACGAAUCACAGAUGGCUUCCUCGGCAGAUGUGGCCCUGUAGAACUGCAGUGCUGGUUUAUAAGGGGUUUAAUGAAAACCUGGCACCCUCCCAGACUUGAAUCAAUCCUCUAGGGUCUCAGCUUAUGCACGUACAGACCAAUCUGCAAAUGUGCACCAUUAUUGACGGUGUGGGGAAUGCUGGGGUGAAAAGUUUUUACCUGAGAAACAAAGCCAAACCUAUCUGGCCAAGUUCACAGGCUUGGCCUGGGAGAUGGAACAGUGCCGUGGAAGGGAAGUUGGUAGGAGAAGAGUGGCUGCAGCUGGAGGAUGUCCAGAUGGCCGCUGCCCAGCUGGGGGUGAUCCGGGCUCAGGGUAGAAUGAUGGUUUUACCAGCUGCUUCGGGCUCACAGUAUUUUCUUCCUUGCCAUGGCUAAAAAGAGUGAGCAGGACUCGCAAGUGGGAGAUAUGGAAUAUCGAAAUAGUUUCUGUCUAGUUCAUAUUAUGGACUGGAACUGAACUUGCAUAUUGUUGCUUCUGCUUGAAAUGUUCUUCAAAUGGUCAGCUUGCUAUUUCUCAUCUGUUUUAUUUUGGCUUCAGUGUCAUUCCUUGGCAAAUGCUUUCUUGAUCACUUCCCUGAAAGAAUCUCCAAGCUCUUUGCCAUAUUCUAUCUUAGUUGUGCAUUUGUUCAUAAUAUAUCACAAUUUAUUUGCCUAUUUGGUUGCUGUUUUGGUCCUUUACUAAAAUAUAAGCUCUUUGAGGGUAGGAAGUCUGUUCAUCUUGUUCACCAAUGCAGCCGAGUGCCUAGUGGAGUACCUGGAACAUAGUAGACAUUCAACAAAUAUUGUUGGAUGGAUGAAUACAUUUUUGUGACAAGACUAAGAUAAAUCAGUCUUUGUAGAUUAAAGCCACCAUUUACAAGCUGUAUAACUGUCUAAAUUACUUAAUCUUUCUUAGUCUCAGAUUCUUUAUCUGUGAAAAAAAAGAUGGCCAGGCGCGGUGGCUCACGCCUGUAAUCCCAGCACUUUGGGAGGCCGAGGCGGGUGGAUCACCCGAGGUCUAGAGUUCGAGACCAGCCUGACCAACAUGGUGAAAUCCCAUCUCUACUAGAAAUACAAAUUAGCCGGGUGUGUUCGUGGGCACUUGUAAUCCCAGCUACUCGGGAGGCUGAGGCAGGAGAAUCUCUUGAACCCAGGGGACGGAGGUUGCAGUGAGCCAAGAUCACACCACUGCACUCCAGCCUGGGCAACAAGAGCAAAACUCCAUCUCAAAACAGAAAAAAAAAAAGAUAAAAAUAUAGUAGAGGGAGCUGUUUGUGUAGAAUAGUGUCUAGAAAUAAGAAAUGGUCAAUAAAGCUAUUAUUAUCCAGUUAUUGAAGAAUUAAGUUCACCACCAACAAAUAUUUAUCAAUAUUUCUAUUCUAAUAUCUAUUGAGAAUCUAGUAUAUGCUAUGCCCCCACACCAAGCACUUUUACAUGCAUUAUCUUAUGCUAUUCUUCACAACCUUGUGAGAUAUUCUUCCCAUUUUAGAACAAAGGAAAUAGAUUAAGUGGUUUGAACAAGCUUACAUAGCUACUCAGUGGCAGAGGCAGUAUUAACUCCAUUUCUAUUUUUAAAGCCCUAAUUUUCCCCCAUAAUUCCAGGCUGCUUCCUAUUAACACUCAUUCUGGAUAAAUAAACAUAAGGAAGCCACAUUCUCUGUCCUCUGGAGGCUCUGGUUUAGGUGAUAAGACAUAUGUAAGAGUAAAAUGAACACUAAUAAAAACCAUUUUUUUGGUGCUGCUUUGAAGUUUACAAAGCUUGUCCCAAUAUUUACAAUACAUUCAAGUUUUAAAAGAUUAUUACCCAGGAUAUAUAAAUAAUUCAUACAAGUCAAUAAGAAAAAGACAAACAAUGGAAAAAUCUACAGAUUAUGAACAGGCAACUGGAAUGGCCAAUAAUCAUAUAAAAAGAUGUUUGACAUUAUGAGCUGUUGGGGAAAUUCAAAUGAGAACAGUAAGACACUAUUUCCCAUUGUCGGAUAGGCAAAAAUAACAGUCUGAGAUACCCAAUGUUGAGGAGGAUAAGGAGACAUGAGAACUAUCAUACCAUGCUGGUGGGACUAUAAAUUGGUAAAACAGUUUGGGGAGCAACUGGCAAUACAUAGUAGCAGUCAAUAUGAAUACACAACCAGGGCUUCCUCUAUGAGGUAAUAGCUUAGAGAAAUUUUUGCAUAUGUGCCAAAGGAGAUGUGCAAUAAUGUUCAGUGUUAGCAUUGUAUAUAAUAGUGCAAUAUUGGAAAUAAUCUAAAAGUACAUUAAUAGAGGAAUGGAUAAACAAAUGGAUCUUUUUUUAGAUAGAACAUAAAAUAGCAAAAAUAAAGCAACAUAAAAUAGCAACUAAAAGAAUAAAUUAGAGCUACAUUUAGCAAUAUGAUAAAUCACUAAAACAUUAUUGAAUAAAAAAGACCAAGUUGCAGAAAGGCACAGACAAGAUAUCAUUUAUGUGUAUUUAAAAACGUGCAGGCUGGCCGGGCGCCGUGGCUCAUGCCUGUAAUCCCAGCACUUUGGGAGGCCAAGGCAGGCAGAUCACCUGAGGUCAGAAGUUCGAGACCAGCCUGACCAACAUGGAGAAACCCUGUCUCUACUAAAAUACAAAAAAAUUAGCUGGGCGUGGUGGUGUAUCCCUGCAAUCCCAGCUACUCAAGAGGCUCAGGCAGGAGAAUCACUUGAACCUGGGAGGCGGAGGUUGCGGUGAGCCGAGAUCACGCCAUUGCACUCCAGCCUGGGCAACAAGAGUGAAACUCUGUCUCAAUAAAUAAAUAAAUAAAUAAAUAAAACCAUGCAGGCCAGGAGCAGUGGCUCAAUGUCUGUAAUCCCAGCACUCUGGGAAGCUGAGGUGGGUGGAUCAUGAGGUCAGGAGAUUGAGACCAUCCUGGCUAACGCGGUGAAACCCAGUCUCUACUAAAAAUACAAAAAAAAAAAAAAAAAAAAAUUAUCCGGCAUAGUGGCACAUGCCUGUAGCCCCAGCUACUCAGGAGACUGAGGCAGGAGAAUCGCUUCAACCCAGGAGGCGGAGGUUGCAGUGAGCCGAGAUCACGCCACUGCACUCCAGCCUGGGCGACAGAGCGAGACUCUGUCUCAAAAAAACAAAAAAAACCCCAUGCAAAACAUGUUUUCACUUAUAAGUGGGAGCUGAACAAUGAGAGUACAUGGACACAGGGAGGGGAACAACACACACUGGAGCCUGUUAGGGGAGGGCAGGGAGGUGGGGGAGCCUCAGGAAAAAUAGCUAAGGCAUGCCGGGCUCAAUACCUAGGUGAUGGUUUGGUAGGUGCAGCAAACCACCAUGGCGCAUGUUUACCUAUGUAAUCUGCACAUCAUGCACAUGUACCCUGGAACUUAAAAUAAUAUUUUAAAAAAUGCGAAACAAUGCCACAAGUUUAAAAUUAACUCUUUAUGUACCAUAAAGAUCUGGCAAGGAAGAAUACAUGCUUCUAGAUGGUAAUAAUUACUUCUAGGGUAGAGGUAGGGAAAGCUUAUCGAGGGAACUUCUAUGGAUCUUCAACUAAAUGUUUUAAUUUAAAAAAAUCUGAAGCAAACAUGGCAAAAUAUUAACAUUGUUAGAUCCAGGUGGUGCGUUCAAUGCGUUUGUUAUACUUGUCUUUGAACUUUUCUCUGUGUGGGGGAUAUUUUCUGUGUAUACGGGAUAUACACAUACAAACACCUCGUUAACCCAGAGCUUCUUCCCCAAACCUUAUCUAAUUUUGUCCUCAUUAAGGCCUUGGAAACAGCAAUGAAAGAGAAGACGUUAAACUCUCGAGUUUCAGUGCGUGUC